rnacentral:misc_RNA from 1 species
UCUAGAACUUGAGCUACCAUAAUUAAUUAUUGAGAGCUUGAUAAUUGAGCUGUAAUUUUCUUGUUCUGAGAGUUUUUUCAAAGUUGUUAUGAGCAUUUAUUGUAAUUUUGAGUAUGAUAGAGCUUUAAAUAGCUCUUGAAUGUAAAGAGAUUUAUAAAAGAGUAAAGGUUUGCUCUUAUGAUGAUUGUAAGGAGUUUGUAAGGAGCUUUAAAGGUUUGCUCUUAUAAAAGA